rnacentral:rRNA from 2 species
UUUAGACCUCAAAUCAGUCA